GCACAAGCGGUGGAGCAUGUGGUUAAUUCGAUGCAACGCGAAGAACCUUACCUGGGCUUGACAUCCCGGGAAUCCCUUGGAAACAGGGAGUGCCCUUCGGGGAACCUGGAGACAGGUGCUGCAUGGCUGUCGUCAGCUCGUGUCGUGAGAUGUAGGGUUAAGUCCCGCAACGAGCGCAACCCUUAUUGUUAGUUGCCAUCAUUCAGUUGGGCACUCUAGCGAGACUGCCGGUAAUAAACCGGAGGAAGGUGGGAUGACGUCAAAUCAUCAUGCCCCUUAUGACCUGGGCUACACACGUGCUACAAUGGUUGGUACAACGAGUUGCGAGUCGGUGACGGCGAGCUAAUCUCUUAAAGCCAAUCUCAGUUCGGAUUGUAGGCUGCAACUCGCCUACAUGAAGUCGGAAUCGCUAGUAAUCGCGGAUCAGCACGCCCGCGGUCGAAUACGUUCCCGGGCCUU
rnacentral:rRNA from 1 species